rnacentral:rRNA from 1 species
GCUGGCGGCACGCCUAACACAUGCAAGUCGAACGAAGUAGCAAUACUUAGUGGCAGACGGGUGAGUAACAUGUAGGUAUCUGCCCUUUGGCCUGGAAUAACACGAGGAAACUUGUGCUAAUACCGGAUAAGUCUUUACGGAGAAAGCUUUAUGCACCAUUGGAUGAGCCUGCACUUGAUUAGUUUGUUGGUGGGGUAAUGGCCUACCAAGACUUUGAUCAAUAGCUGAUUUGAGAGGAUGAUCAGCCACAUUGGGACUGAGACACGGCCCAAACUCCUACGGGAGGCAGCAGUGGGGAAUCUUGCACAAUGGAGGAAACUCUGAUGCAGCGAUGCCGCGUGAGUGAAGAAGGCCCUUGGGUUGUAAAGCUCUUUCGUCGGGGAAGAAAAUGACUGUACCCGAAUAAGAAGGUCCGGCUAACU